rnacentral:rRNA from 1 species
UACGCAGGGGGCUAGCGUUGCUCGGAAUCACUGGGCGUAAAGGGGGCGUAGGCGGGUCUUUAAGUCAGGGGUGAAAUCCUGGAGCUCAACUCCAGAACUGCCUUUGAUACUGAGGAUCUUGAGUUCGGGAGAGGCGAGUGGAACUGCGAGUGUAGAGGUGAAAUUCGUAGAUAUUGGGAAGAACACCGGUGGCGAAGGCGGCUCUCUGGACCGAUACUGACGCUGAGGCGCGAAAGCGUGGGGAGCAAACAGG